rnacentral:rRNA from 1 species
GAUGAACGUUGGCGGCGUGCCUAAUACAUGCAAGUCGAACGGAGAUUGUAGCAAUACGGUCUCAGUGGCGAACGGGUGAGUAACGCGUUGGUGACCUGCCCCGAAGUGUGGAAUAACAGAUCGAAAGAGCUGCUAAUACCGCAUAAUAUCCAGGAGAUUAGAUGCUUCUGGAUUAAAGGAUUUAUCCGCUUCGGGAGGGGCCUGCGUCCCAUCAGCUAGUUGGUAAGGUAAAGGCUUACCAAGGCGAUGACGGGUAGGGGACCUGAGAGGGUGGCCCCCCACAAUGGAACUGAAACACGGUCCAUACACCUACGGGUGGCAGCAGUAGGGAAUAUUAGUAAUGGGCGAAAGCCUGAACUAGCAACGCCGCGUGUGCGAAGAAGGCCUUCGGGUUGUAAAGCACUUUUGUAGUAGGAUGAGGAAGGACGGUACGUCUCAGAAUAAGUCUCGGCUAACUACGUG